GAAAGAUGCUCGCUCGCUGGAUCCAGUUCCCAUUGGAGCUCCAGUAGUUGGUGAAGUGGCAGUAAAAGGGUCGUCGGGUCCCCAUGAUGUGAGCGCCUCCUUCUUCUUGGCAAAGAAAUGCCAAGCUCCAAAGAGAAAGAGUAUGAAAAACAGAACAGGGCUUGUCCAGAGCAUUGUAUUGAACUCCCCUUUAAAAAUUGGAAGAUUAGAGCGA
rnacentral:misc_RNA from 1 species